CAACUCUCAGGGUUGCACCUGGAGAGUUUCCAGUCCUCUACCAGUCUCGACUACGGGAGGGAGAGUCAAGCAGAGGCCUACCCAUUUCAAUUCUAGUUUGGACAGUGGCUAGCAAGUGGUAGGCAAUCUGCUACAAGU